AAAAGAGUGACAACCCUCUGUCACCUGACUACGUUCCUUCAAUCUUCAAUCAUGUUCCAUCCCAGGAGAAGAGAAAAAGAAGAAUGAGAUCCAUGACUUUGCUACCCAGUAAUGAUACAUUGGAUGAGGCUCUCACCAUCGAGCCUGAUUUGAUAUCUGUCUUAAAAA